rnacentral:rRNA from 1 species
AGUGAACAGGGAAAAGCCCAGCACCGAAGCCUGUGACCAUUUGGUUACUAGGCAAUGUGGUGUUUAGGUCGUUCCGCAGAGGUUCUGCUCCACCCUAAGUCCAUAAAUGAGUGCGGUAGUAUGGACAUGGCCCGCAGAGGGUGAAAGGCCCGUGGGGGUGGAGAUUCGGUAGGCCAGAACCUCUCUGGGUAGACCUUGGAGUCGGGUUGUUUGUGAAUGCAGCCCAAAGUGGGUGGUAAACUCCAUCCAAGGCUAAAUACUGACACGAGUCCGAUAGCGAACAAGUACCGUGAGGGAAAGUUGAAAAGUACUUUGAAGAGAGAGUAAACAGUGCGUGAAACCGCUCAGAGGUAAACGGGUGGAGUUGAACUGCAAGCUCUGAGAAUUCAGCUGAUGAGUUUGGUUUGAGCUGGGUCAAAUUGGUGUACACUGGGGUCUGCUCAGAUGCAGGUCAUUGCCUUCGGGUAGUGAUGCGCGAUGCACUUAUCAAGUGUUGUGCGCCUCAGUUGUUCUACGACCAGCUUGUCAGUGCACUUUCUCAGAGUGGUCACCACGACCGGCGCUGCUGUCUGGCUGCUUUGGUUAAACCGUUGCUUGCUUAGUCCUUGUGGCUUUGCUUCAGCGGGAUGGCAGGUGAUUCGUUAACUUGCUUGCAGGUUUUCGAGUGUAAUCAGCUGACCUUGGUGGUUCUGUGCAGUGCGUCGGAGACGGCGGCUUGUGGUGUGUGCAUGCGUUCGGGUUGCUGACAUGUCCGGGUUUGGCUUUUAUGUUGCCUGUGUGAACAGGUCUAUUGGUGGCUCGGAUUUGUUCGGUGGUCUGUUGCGUGUGUUUCACUGUUCCAAGGGCCAACAGUCUGUGGUGUAGUGGUAGACUAUCCACCUGACCCGUCUUGAAACACGGACCAAGGAGAGUAACAUGUGCGCGAGUCAUUGGGCGUUACGAAACCCAAAGGCGCAGUGAAAGUGAAGGCUUGACUUGUUCAGGCUGAGGUGAGAUCCUGUCGUUUCUCACGCGUGGUACUACCAAGCAUCGAGCGGCAGGCGCAUCACCGGCCCGUCCCAUGGCAGUUGUUUCCGAACAGGUUUCGGUCGGGGCGGUGCAUGAGCGUACAUGUUGAGACCCGAAAGAUGGUGAACUAUGCUUGCGCAGGUUGAAGCCAGAGGAAACUCUGGUGGAGGACCGCAGCGAUUCUGACGUGCAAAUCGAUCGUCAAACGUGAGUAUAGGGGCGAAAGACUAAUCGAACCAUCUAGUAGCUGGUUCCCUCCGAAGUUUCCCUCAGGAUAGCUGGCGUUCUGAGAAAUAAACAGUUUUAUCCGGUAAAGCGAAUGAUUAGAGGCCUUGGGGGCGAAACGUCCUCAACCUAUUCUCAAACUUUAAAUGGGUGAGAAGUCCAACUCGCCUAAACGGAGUUGGGCGUUGAAUGUGAGUGCCAAGUGGGCCAUUUUUGGUAAGCAGAACUGGCGCUGUGGGAUGAACCAAACGUUCGGAUAAGGUGCCUAACUCGACGCUCAUCAGAUACCACAAAAGGUGUUGGUUGGUCCAGACAGCAGGACGGUGGCCAUGGAAGUCGGAAACCGCUAAGGA